rnacentral:rRNA from 2 species
UCGAGCGAUCGACGGGAGCUUGCUCCCUGAGAUUAGCGGCGGACGGGUGAGUAACACGUGGGCAACCUGCCUAUAAGACUGGGAUAACUUCGGGAAACCGGAGCUAAUACCGGAUWYKUUYUUUUCUCGCAUGARAGAAGAUGGAAAGACGGUUUACGCUGUCACUUAUAGAUGGGCCCGCGGCGCAUUAGCUAGUUGGUGAGGUAAUGGCUCACCAAGGCGACGAUGCGUAGCCGACCUGAGAGGGUGAUCGGCCACACUGGGACUGAGACACGGCCCARACUCCUACGGGAGGCAGCAGUAGGGAAUCUUCCGCAAUGGACGAAAGUCUGACGGAGCAMCGCCGCGUGAACGAAGAAGGCCUUCGGGUCGUAAAGUUCUGUUGUUAGGGAAGAACAAGUACCAGAGUAACUGCUGGUACCUUGACGGUACCUAACCAGAAAGCCACGGCUAACUACGUGCCAGCAGCCGCGGUAAUACGUAGGUGGCAAGCGUUGUCCGGAAUUAUUGGGCGUAAAGCGCGCGCAGGUGGUUCCUUAAGUCUGAUGUGAAAGCCCACGGCUCAACCGUGGAGGGUCAUUGGAAACUGGGGAACUUGAGUGCAGAAGAGGAAAGUGGAAUUCCAAGUGUAGCGGUGAAAUGCGUAGAGAUUUGGAGGAACACCAGUGGCGAAGGCGACUUUCUGGUCUGUAACUGACACUGAGGCGCGAAAGCGUGGGGAGCAAACAGGAUUAGAUACCCUGGUAGUCCACGCCGUAA